rnacentral:rRNA from 1 species
GAAUAUUGGACAAUGGGGGGAACCCUGAUCCAGCCAUGCCGCGUGUGUGAAGAAGGCCUUUUGGUUGUAAAGCACUUUAAGCGUGGAGGCGGCUACCUAGAUUAAUACUUUAGGAUAGUGGCCGUUACUCGCAGAAUAAGCACCGGCUCACUCGUGGCCCGCAGCCGCGGUAAUACAGAGGGUGCGAGCGUUAAGCGGAGUUACUGGGCGUAAAGCGUGCGUAGGCGGCCAAUUAAGUCAAAUGUGAAAUCCCCGAGCUUAACUUGGGAAUUGCGUUCGAUACUGGUUGGCUAGAGUAUGGGAGAGGAUGGUAGAAUUCCAGGUGUAGCGGUGAAAUGCGUAGAGAUCUGGAGGAAUACCGAUGGCGAAGGCAGCCAUCUGGCCUAAUACUGACGCUGAGGUACGAAAGCAUGGGGAGCAAACAG